AGCUCAGUUGGUAGAGCAUGAGACUCUUAAUCUCAGGGUUUGUGGGUUCAAGCCCCAC
rnacentral:tRNA from 1 species